rnacentral:rRNA from 1 species
GAGUGCGAUCAUACCAGUGUUAAUGCACCGUAUCCCAUCAGAACUCUAUAGUUAAGUGCAUUUGGGCUAGAGUAGUACUGGGAUGGGUGACCUCUCGGGAAGUCCUUGGGUGACCUCU